GGCGCUCCGGAAUCAGCUGGGCGGGACGGGGGCCCGGAUGAUGGGGAGGGGCGUGGGCGGGGAGGCCACGCCGAGGCAGAGGUGGCGUGUGGCUGCUGUCCCGUCCUCUGCUGUGUCCUCGCUCCCUUUGGCGUCUGGUGCGCUCCUGUCCUUGGUGCUCGGGGUGUCCUACGAGGCUGUGUGCUCGCUGGGCUUUACCCCGCUCGGGGCCGGGGGCUCCUGGAUUCUGCGGCACAACCUACUCGCUGGGGAAGACGCCGUCCCUUCCACUCCGUGCUGUCGCAGCACUUCUAGGAGCCUCGUGGGAAGAGCCACAUCCCCCGGGAGCCGUGGUGACCUCCUAACCCCAGGAGCCGUCAACUGGGCCUAGUGUGCAAACGGGCUCUUCACAGAUGAUCAAGACACACGUCGUGAUCACGAGAUUCUCAUAACUCGCUCGCGCACAGAGAGCCGAAGAUCGGAAACAUCUCGUUGGAGAAGAGAGGGAGAGGGCGGAGCUUAACAGAGGCGUCGGGGGUCAGGCCACGCGCGGCCGGAAAGCAGAGAAGCACGGCGCCGGCGAGGAGGCGGGAGGCCCGGCGUAAGCUCGCCCAGCGAGGUCGGUGGAUUCGCUGCCCUUUUCCAAGUGGGUUCCAGCCGGCCCCAACUGUGGAGGGGACCACGGGGGCCGGGUCACCCCUGGCUGACGGGGAAACGGGGGUGGGGUGCGGGAGCCCCAGACCACAGGAUCAUCAGCACCACGCACAUGGUUUGGGGGGGGGGGGGCGUAUGCUGCUCCCGUGUCACACGCUCUUGAAGCUGGAGGAACGGGGUCUGUGGAGAAGAGCCAGAGCCGGCGCCCCCCGCCCCCCAGCUCGUCACGGGAGCGGUCACAUCGUGGCCUCCCUGCAGCGCUCCAUCCGAGUCCGGCACAGACACGACCGCACUGACCUGCACACUGGCCGCUCUCCUUGGUGUAGCCCGGGACGCACUCUUUACACUGUUCUGGACCCUUCCCCGUGCAGCCCACACACGUAGAAUCACAUUCUAGAAACAAGGGGGAAAGGCAAUGACAACAUCAGACACCGUCCUGUGGGCACACGGGGUCUGGAGCCACGCCACGUGGGAACCCGGGUGCUCCGGCCUCUCCCACCCCACCCCCACCCCCAAGCACGGGCUUCAGGCGGCAGGGCGGAGACUCGGUGACCGUGCACGGGAAGCCCACGGACAGGCACCCUCUGCACCCUCUUGUUGGAACCGGUAUCGGGGGUGGCCGCCUUCCUCAUGACGGGCGGCUGGGAGCUCAGUACGAAUAACCUUCCCGGGCGAGGCCCACGCGUCACAGAGAGGGGCACGCGCGGCACGCGGGGAGGCCCCCAGCCUCCCGGGGACGGCGUGGCCCUACAGUGCACACCCCCAGAGCAGUUUGGAACCAGUGCGAGAAAACAGUGACCAACACGAAGAGCUUUAUCUACCAAGGAAUUCAAAGUGCGUAACUGCGGGAGAACCGGUCUGACUCCAACAGCCAGCGAUACAGAUUGUCGAAGAAACUGGCCGAGUCAGGACGUGCUCUGCAAUCGCGCACACACGUGUACGUGACGUACACGACGUGACAGGACGGACGAAGACGGUCACGGCCUUGUUGAGUGAAAAAGGCAAGGAGACACUGGGGAGCGUCUUAGGACUAGUAACAGAGGCUCCCUCUCCGUGGAAUUGAUGGCUUUUAAAUAUUACUUUCAACUCCUUUGAAUUUUCUGUAACAAAUACCUAUCACUUGG